rnacentral:rRNA from 1 species
AACGAACGCUGGCGGCAGGCCUAACACAUGCAAGUCGAGCGAGGACUUCGGGCCUGGCGGCGGACGGGGGAGUAACGGGGGGGAACGUGCCCUGGUCAUCGGAAUAGCACUGGGAAAUUGGGAGGGAUACCGGAGGAGCAUUCCGGGGGGAAGACAUAUCGGCGAAGGUUCGGCCCGCGUUGGAUUAGGGUGUUGUUGGGGUGAUGCCUAACCAAGCCGACGAGCCAUAGUGGGUUUGAGAGGAUGAUCAGCCACACUGGGACUGAGACACGGCCCAGACGCCUACGGGAGGCAGCAGUGGGGAAUCUUAGACAAUGGGGGAGACCCUGAUCUAGCCAUGCCGCGUGAGCGAUGAAGGCCUUAGGGUUGUAAAGCUCUUUCAGCGGGGAAGAUAGUGACGGUACCAGCAGAAGAAGCCCCGGCUAACUCCGUG